rnacentral:lncRNA from 1 species
AUGCCAGUUCUCAGGAACCCCAGAAGAAUGCCAGGAAGUGCAAGUCCGAUGUUAAAACAAAGAGACCCACUGUGCAGGGAUGUGAUGCCCGCAUCCAGGGGCUUGGGAGUAUAUAUACACGUGCAUAUUCGUAGCAGAGCUCCUCGAACUUUGGGGUUACAUGACUGGGAGGUGACAAGGGAAAGCUAUCCUUCAAACCCGAUAACCAUGCAGCUGGGAGGGGGACCCUCCUGACCUGGGAAGUAACUUUAUGGAGCUAUCAGGAGCUAGUGUAUUUUUACAAACUGGUCGCAGCUGUCUGGGAACACUUAAUUGCCCUUCCCUCUUGGUCCAAGCAUGGGCCUUUUAUCAUUUCAAGGAUGUUUGGUCCUUGUUCCCUUCAAGGGCAGGAGCCAUCUGCACCUGAGAAAGGUUUCUGGAUCCAGCUGAAGAGCUCUAUCUUUCCAUCAAAACCAUGA